UGGGCAUGAAGCCAUUGGGCUAUGAUGUGUGAGGUGCACAAAGCAAAAAAAAGGGGAGGGCCCCCCUCCAUUCCUCUAAUCUGGGAGGGACUACUAAUAUGGCUACAUGAUGGCCGGCCCCAUCAACCGAGCGUAGAGAAGCUUUGACAAAGAAAAA